AUGGGUCGCCGUGGCAAGAAGCGUCAGACCCAUGAGAAGAAGCCGCAUGUCAAUGCCGCGCGUCCUUCACUCCCUUCUUUUCUGGAGUCGGUCGAUAAGGAAUAUAUACUGUAUUUCAGCCUAGAUGGUGAGCCAAUGGAUGUUUUGCGCAGCUAUAUCAAAUAUGUAAGAUCAGUAUGGUCCCUGGGCUUCAAACGUGGCCUCAAGAUCGACGCCACGAAAGUUUUUGGAACACACCAGAGAAUUUGCACGACACCGAUAGAAGGCGCAGUUUAUGUUGUCGUGCAGUUGGGAAACUUGUUAGCUGUUUUUGUCAUAAAAGGUGACGAGUGGUGGCUCAAAGGAUACUACUUGGGAAACAAAGCUAUCGAAUUUGACCCUGGUACAGAAGGCAAACAGUACAUCAAAGGGUCAGUGCUCUUAAAUUUCACCGGAAACCACUACAGAAUUUCUGAAGGGGACCCUGGAUCGCUAUACGUGGGUCAUGAAUCCCUCGUAGUUGCUGUGAAAGAUGUGAUCCUGAGUAAUGGAAGACCCAAGAGGACAUCUCUAGGAGUAAUUGAGACGUACCUCUGCGAAGGUCCAAGGCUUAAGGAGGCUUAUGACGCCCUCAAGCUUUCUCUUGUUUUGAAACAUGUUAGCCGCCUUGAGUACGUGAAUUCUCUGAUAACAAUGCUGAUUCGGCAAUGGCAAACACUGAGCUUCAACUUGAUGCACUAUAUACGUGAUCUUGAGAUAGGAGAAACUCCGAAGCCACUGAGAGCAAUAUUCGAAAUUCCUGGAUCAGAUUCGCCCGAAUGGAUCGUGUCAAACGUCAAAAUGCUCUACGUCAAUGCCCUGAAACAGAGCGAUGACAUAGCAGGUUUUGGGAUGCCGUCUGGGCGCAAGGGUGGAGGUACGACACAGGAUGUGACUCUAGCAUCCUAUUAUCCACCUAAGAGGCACUUGUCUACUGCAGGGUAUUGGGUGCAGGGUCUAUCGACUGGACUGAUUGGAACAUUCUCUCGGGAUCAAGUUAGCAGCCUUGGCUGUAUGGUUGUGCUCAGGCGCCACCAGACAACAAGUGUCUUUGAAAGAUCACUCUUCCAAGAGCUGUAUGACUGGAAGUCCCGUGCUCCAACAGUGAGUGGGCAAAAUAGUCAUAGAUCUCCUAUGCUUGCCAUGGUAAGUGAGGCCACAUCCUCCCAAAAUCAGGCUCUUCAUUCUGGAUGCUUCAGUAAUCUUCGAAUACAUCAAGCUAAAGCAGCUUCUCAGUAA
rnacentral:rRNA from 1 species